rnacentral:lncRNA from 1 species
GACACGUGGUGCCUUCAGGCUCUGGGGCCUAGGACCUUUGUGGUAGCAGAGUCACUGCAGAGAACCAGACAAUACCAGGUUGCUUAUAAAAGGAUGCCAUGUGCUUGCUGGAGGUCCCAGGUGCAACCAAAUUGCUUGCAGCUAGGAGGACCUUGAAGAGAAAUGGGAUCAGCCCGCCAAACCAAGAAGGGUUAGCACUUUUGCUAGGAGAGCUGACCACGCACAAACAGAUGAGAACCAAAACCGAGUGAAGAGGAUUGAAGAUGAACCCACAUUUUAAAAGUUCUUGUCUGCUGGAGGUGGCAUUACCUGUGACCUCGCUUCACUUCUCCAUACAUGGCUGUUAUAGCAGAAAAUCCAGCUUUCUGAAGCAUAUUUCACGACAUAUGAUGAGACUUAUGUGAUGUGAGACCUGAGAAAACUAUGAUAGAAAGAAGCAACUCAAGUUGCAAGGAUAUUCCUCAUGUAUCAUGCAAGGAUAUUCCUCAUAUAUCAUAGACUAAGGUGUCAGUAUGUUCUUCAAGCUGCUCUGCUCCUGGGCCCAAGCUAUUCUCCUGCCUCAGCCUUCCAAGAAGCUGAAACUACAAGAACACAAGACUGUACCUGGCUUGCAAACACCAUUGCUAAUAAGAAGAUAUUGUAAGACUGAUACCUAAGAGAUAAGAGACAUGGAUCCCUGAGGUCGGUCCCCAAUACGACAAGACAAUUUGAUAUCAUAAUAGAACACUGCAGAAACAAUGCUGAGUGAAGAAGAGUAGAAAUGGGAAGACUUGGUUGAGCGGAAACUGAGUUCUUGAAAAGAGGAGAUGCUUGAUGAGGGCAUGGAUCCCUGAGGUCUGCCCCAGUACUAUAAGACAAUUUGAUGUAAGAAAACACAGCAGAUAUAAUACUGAGUGAAGAAGAGUAUAAAUGAGAAGAUUGGUUGUGCAGAUACUGAGUUCAUGAAAAGAGGAGAUGAUUGAUGAGGCCAGGUGCGGUGACUCAUGCCUGUAAUCCCUGCACUUUGGGAGGCUGCGGCGGGCGGAUCACCUGAGGUCAGGAGUUCGAGACCAGCCUGGGAGACAGAGCAUGGAAACCUAAGGUCUGUACCCAAAACUACAGGACUAUUUGACAUCAUAAUAAAACACUGCAGAUAUGAUGCUGAGUAAGAGUAGAAAUGGGAAGACUUGGUUGUGCAGUAACUGAGUUCUUGAAAAGAGGAGAUGCUUGAUGAGGGCAUGGAUCACUAAGGUCUGUUCCCAAUACAAGAAGACUCUUUGACAUCAUAAUAAAAUACUGCAGAUACGAUGCUGAGUGAAAAAGAGUAGAAAUGGGAAGACUUGGUUGUGCAGAAACUGAGUUCUUAAAGAGAGGAGAUACUUUAUGAGGGCUGGAGUGCACUGGAGCAAUCCUGGCUGGCCAAUACUGAGUUCUUGAAAACAGGAGAUGCUUGAUGAGGUUGCAGGGCUUUGACUCCUGGGUACAUGUAUCUCAUCUGAAAGGGAAUCCUGACGCCUACUGAAUCUUAAUAGUCAAUAUUGAUAUCUGGCAUCAAAUUCAAGUUGACCAAAGUUCCAUCUUCAGACCUGGGAGAAGAUGACAGUCAAAAUGAACUGCUUUCAUGUGACACUGGACCAGGCCUAUAUACAAAGGCAUAAGUAAUCAUUGAAUAAUGUUUCAUCUAUCUAUCUUAAUAUAAUUUGUUCUAUGCCUUACUAGAUAAAUGUUUAGUUACCUGUGAGUUUUCUUUUCCUGCCAUUGUCAGAGCUAGGCAGGGCUUAAGUCCCUUUCGUUUAAACAUUACUAACUCUAUACAUAGCUUGCAAAAUUGGAUAAAACAACAAAGGUUACUUUUUCACUCUCUCUCUGCUUAAUAUCUCUGAAAUUUAAAACUAUUCAGAAUCCCACUGGGCCCGAUCUAUUUUCAAUGCUAAUGCUCCACUGCUAAAACUAUAUAAGCAUCUUCCCUCUAGGCUCAGGCACUAUCUUGGAAGAGGUAAAUGUGUAAGAUUGUAAAGGUUGAUUUUUGAGCAACAAAAUUAAUUUAGAUCUUCCAAAUAAAAAAUGGGCACACAGAUGCCCAAACAGUUGGCAAAAUAAGAUACUUUACCUCCUGGACCAGUAUGUGGACCUUUUUCAUCCAUCCCAACCAUAAUUUCCUCUUUCCUGUAGAAUUAAAAGAAAAUUGCAAAGAGGAUAUGAACUUUUCUGGUAAGAAAACCUCCUGGGUAUAGUGCUCCCAGUUAUGAGAUUUAUGCAGAUUGUUAUAUAAAGUUUUUUUAAAUCAAGCACCUUAGGACAAACUAUUAAAAAGACUGCUAAAAGCGUUGUGACACAACAAAAGUCUCUAAAUUCUGUAGCUUAAAAAGUUUUAACAAAGUACUUAUCUUUUGCAAGCUAAUUGCUACAAGUCUAUAACUAAAACAUGUAUUGACUGAUGUCUUAGGUCUCCCUAAAAUAUAUAAAACCAAGUUGUAAACCAAUCACCUUGGACACAUGUUCUCAGGACCUCUGGAGACUGUGCCUUGGGCCAUGGUCACUCAUAUUUGGCUGAGAAUAAAAUUUUAAAAA